GCGGGGAGGGCGGCGAGCGGGGAUCAGCCGAAGUCGGGAGAGGGGCGCUUCCACGGGGCGGGAAACUGGCGCGCGACUCUGGGGGAAGUGCAGGAUGGGGGGACAGGGGCGCUCCCGCGGGGGUGGAUGGGGGACCAUAGCGGGGCUGGCGGGGCAGGGGCCGGCGCACGAGGCUGGAGGAGGGGAGCGCGCGCUUCUACCCGGGCUGGGUCGCCGAGUCCACAGCCUCGAAGCCAUGGGUUCUCCCCGGCCCUCUGAAGCCGCCACACCUGUGCCAGCCGGCCGCGUCCUCAGACCUUUCCCCGCGGAGUCUUCCCAGCACUUGGAGACGCAGCGCAGGGCCCCGAGGACGGCCUGGCCCGGAGAAAAGAUACCGAAGCUCCAACUUUCCCCAACCCCGCUCCCCUCCUCCUUCCACCCUCCCUUCCCGCCCCCAAAGCUCGGGGGUCCUAUCCCUCCUCCGGUCCGCGGAGUCUCCCGAACCCUGCGGGGACCCGGCGCUCGGCGGUGCCCUCCUGGGGCGCACGGGGCUGGGGCGGGAGCGAGGAGACCAGGUGGGGAGGGGACCCCAGAUCUCAGACGCCAGGGGAGACGGCGUUUCCCGCUGUUCAUUCAGGUUUGUGCCAAAAGGAGCCUCACAGAUGCAGUAUUGGGUUUGGUAGACUCAAAUCGUCUUGUUUUAAUGUAAAUGAAAUCCUUCGACCCAGGCACGAGCGCCCAUCGCGGAGGCCACGAUGCCCGUUUUAUUCCCUCUCCACGGCAAGGAAAAGCAGCGAAAUCUGAGGUCUUCAGAGGUUAACCCUAUCUAGGAGCAGAAUGUGACGCAUUGUAAACAAAUAAAUAUUGAAAACUCGAUGUUAAACACUUUA
rnacentral:lncRNA from 1 species